AGACGUAGGGAGCCGCUUUUCUUCUGGUUUUGACUAACCUAGAGACAAAAAUAAAAGAGGUGAUUUUCUCUAACUUUUAUGGGGAAUCAGCGGAUUUUGACAAGAUCAAACCCACCCCCCUGAUCGAUCAUCCUCUUCUAUAAAGAAGAAGUAGCCAUUUUCGAUGGUUGCUGCUGAACACCAAACGACCAGACCCCCAUGAGCUUCUUCUUCAUGAAGCUCUAAGACAAAACCUAGAUCUAGAAGACCUAUUCACCCCUUCCAGCCAUCUCUCUCUUUUUCUAUCUCACCCCAUCGCCGGCGACGGUUGCUGCUUUCCCGUCCCCGCCUUCUUCCCCCUCUACUAUCACUGUUCCGCCGGAGUCGCACCCCCGGAGUCGCACCCUCGAUGAUUAACGAACAAGAUGCUGCAAUUUUCUUAGUAUAGCAGCAUGUUUAUCAGUAAUGUUGCUAAGGUUUAAAGCUCCAAAACCCAGCAAAAGCAGUCAAAAAAACGUGCCCUCCUCAACCCGAGUCCCAACCUUUUUCCCGUUUCGCGAGAGUUUUCAAGAGGUCCUGCUUGAGGUCUUUUCGUUGAGUUCUAGCGUAUGUGUUGGUGAUUACAAAUAAGUUCUUGAAACUGUUGAGAUUUCGGGUAAACUCAGAGGCCGCCGGUGAAGUUCCGUCAACCGUUUCGACUGUGGUCUAGUCUUCCUUCUAAAGUUUGGUUGCUAAUUUUGGAUUUCCAUCUCGUCUGUUGGCUGUUUCGUGUAAGAUUUAAUUGGAAAUUCUUAUUAAUACAUCAGAGAGGAUCUUUGUUGCUCGAGGUGUGGAUUUACUUACUGGAGUUUGAGCAUGAUAGACGCCCUACGACCAUCCAGUCAGGAUCGAUCAUUCAGGAGUUUGGUUAAGGAGAUUUUUUUUAGUUAUUAUGUUUUGAGUCUAUUGUUUUUUUUAUGUCAUCUUUUACCUUUUAAUUUUGUACAGUAAUAUCGAGUCUUUUAUUAUUGUA